AAUGAAAAAAAAAGAGAGAGAAGUAAUUCUGAUCCUUCUCUACAUUGGUCAAAUUGCUGCCGUGAACCCAGUAACCCUCACAGACUGUAGAAUGAAAUGGAUAAUAAUCCCACCCUGCUCUUGAUGUGAGAGAAUUCCAUGCAUACUGGGUUUUUUCCAAGCAUCUUGGUCUACAGAACUCUGCUCAGUUAAUAACAGAAACUGAUGCUGGAAAAAGCCAGCAGUCUUGCAACAAGAUAGCUUUUAAAUUAGGGGAUCUCUGCUGGUUCUUUUCGAAUGGUAGCCUGACUUUUAAUAUUUUUUUGGUCCAAAUUUGCAGGACACACUAAGCUUUUUAGAUAUGUAGGAUAGUGAAUAUUUUAUAUGCAUAGAAGUGUCUGCAAAGGACUUUAAUCAAGGCAAAAUAGGCAGCAUUAAAUUUCAUGCCAUCGUUCAUAUAGAUUUCUUGAUUGGAUGUAAAUUAGUGCAGUGAUUGCAUUCUCUUUUGACUCCCUUCAUAAAUUUGUGUUAGAAAUCUAUCUUGGGAAUAACUGUCAUUUCCAUUAUUUGGAAAAGUUGCAAAUUUUCAUGUCGUUAAGAAAAGAAUUUUAUAUUCUUUCUCCCUCCCUCUCCUUUGUCCUUUUGGAGAUAUGCUUUCUGGGCCACAUAAAGACAUAUAAAAGAAUAAUUCUUAAAAAUAGCAUAGCUAUAAUUCAAGAUUCACUAGCUGAUUAAUAUCCUGUCAAUAAAUAGCAUACCCAGCCUGGUACUUUUCUGAUACUUGAGGGUCACAGUUCCAUAUUUAUUUAUUACUUUUUGCACUUAUGUGUUAUAUUUAUUUAAUGCAUUUAUUAUUUGCAUGCAGCACUACAGCUCUAUAUCUUCAGGAAGCAAAAAAAAUCAUAGUGCCAUAUUUUAAAAAACAGGAUUAAGAGAAACUUGUUAGAUAGUCUGCAAUUCUGUGAAUGUUUUUUUCCAUACUUUUUUGGAACUCAAGAAUAUUAAGAGGCUACAGGAACAUCUUGUAAAAUAACCUGAGCAUCAAAUACUUUUGUUUUGUUAGGUGGUAUUGAGCUUGAUUUAUGUAUUUAAAUUUUCAAACUUUCUAAAUGAUCCAUAAAUGAAGAGACUAAAUUCCACCGAAUUCAAAGAUUACACUGAUUUUACAGGGGCUGAUAGCAAGAACAUCUAGACUUAUAUACCACUUUAUAGUGCUUUGACAGCCCUCUCUAAGCGGUCCAUGAUCCAUGUAUUCAGGAAAGGAUACACAGCUAAGGUAUCUGCCAGCUACAGGUUAACUUGAUGAAAUAUUAUAAUAGGAUGUUUCAUGUUAGUACUAUUAAGUGCGGAGCAAUAUAACAAAACACAAAGCUGUAAACAUAAUAAACAUUUGAAAAGCACAGUGUCCAGAGUAAUGCUUGAGACUCUUAUAAAGGACAUCACUGACUAAUGUUUGGAAGUUGAGCCAUGGCAACUGGACGCCUUUUCUUUGUUGGUUCGAAAUAUUUCAUUCUUCAAUCCAAGUAGCAUAUUGAUUGGUUUCCCCCUGACCAAUUUGCUCAGACUGAAGAAGCUACUUGGAUAAGCAGCCAAACAUUUCGAACCAACAAGAUAAGAAAUCCAGACAUCUCUACCUGGACAGAUUCAACUUCCAGACAUCUUUGCUGACUUAACCCUAGCUAUUGUUUUCUUUUCUACAAAGGUCUUGGGUUGAAAGAUGGUAGCUUGCCUAAAGCUCCUGUGUUGGUCCCCCAACAAGCUAAGAUUGCAUUUAUAUUCUUCAGACAUUCAGAUUAUUAUUCAGCUUCUAUGUUAAACUAGUUCUGUGAAAGAUAAGCCUGCCUGGCCUUGCAAUAGCAGAAUACAAGUGACCCUGUCCCAUCAGAUCCAACCAGUGGUCCUGAUCAAUCCAGCUUCCCUGGAUCCAACCUCCAUUUCAAAUAUAUAAAGGUAAAGGUUCCCCUCGCACAUACGUGCUAGUCGUUGCCGACUCUAGGGGGCGGUGCUCAUCUCCGUUUCAAAGCCGAAGAGCCAGCGCUGUCCAAAGACAUCUCCAUGGUCAUGUGGCCGGCAUGACUCAACACCAAAGGCGCACGGAACGCUGUUACCUUCUCACCAAAGGGCUGCACAUGAAGUGGAAAGAGAAGAUGUAUGCACCUUCUCCUUCCAAUGAAGUUUCUGUGGGGAAAUCUAGAACCAUCCAUACAAGGCCGAUCUAAAAUGGUGCUUUGUUAACUUGAGAGACUACUUUCAACUACCUUCAGGUCAACAGCCUUAUGGAAUCAACUAUGGCCGCCAAGAUCAUUUUCCUAAUGAGCUAUCGGCAGCUUAAGCCUUCAUUGGUCUAUACGUGGUGAAGUUGGCCCCAGGACUGUUGUGAAUCACACUUAAAAUUAAAUAGUUUCAGCCUGUUGUACAAAUGUGGCCAACGGUAUUAACCAUCCUGAUUAAAUGAGUUGUGCAAACAAGACUGCUGGCUUAUAUUUACGUUUUAAGCUAAAAAUCUCUUUUUUCUUUCAAAAUUCUGCAGUUUUUCCUACUCCAGAGAACCCAAUUCUUCCGAUGCCUGCAUUGGUAAUAGAAAAAAGGUGAUUUGGAUGCCAUCUAGUGGCUUAAGAUGCAAAUAUAAAAUAUUUAGAACCUAUCCAGAACCUAUCUAUAUACAGAGAUCGAUCGAUCGAUCGAUCUAUCUAUCUAUCUAUCUAUCUAUCUAUCUAUCUAUCUAUCUAUCUAUCUAUCUAUCUAUCUAUCUAUCUAUCUAUCUACCUAUCUAUCUAUCUAUCUACCUAUCUAUCUAUCUA